GGCAUCAUGGUUAUUGUCAAUGGGUCGGUGCUUGCAAUUAUAUUCUACAAUUCCAAUUUCAGGCUGAGCUGCAAAAGAUGUGUGGUAAUGGCAGCCAUGAAGUGUGAAAAGCACCCCAAUUAUCUUCUCUGUUAGCAUACAAAUGAAGUGAGCUUCAAAAGUGGAAAGCAUCCUCUGUUUUUGGUUCUGAUGAGCUUUCAACCUAGCUAGGAUCUUUUCCUUUAGUAACAUCCUCUCUUUGGUUCAUCUCCAUCCGCAUUUUCAGAGACAGGGAAAAGCCUGAAAAGCAUUGUAAUAAUAAUCUUCAGCAAAUUAUUAUGAGAUUCAUUGGCAAACAUGAAUAUAUGUAUUUGAAAUGCUAGUUGAAUUUUUUAAUAUCUACUUUAAUUAGAACUUUAUUAGUUAUUAAGAUUUUAUCUCUUUUAUGAAUUUUAUUGUGUACAAAUUUAUUUGAUAAUUAAAAUGAU